rnacentral:rRNA from 1 species
GUGCCAGCAGCCGCGGUAAUACAGAGGUCUCAAGCGUUGUUCGGAUUCAUUGGGCGUAAAGGGUGCGUAGGCGGCGCGGUAAGUCGGGUGUGAAAUCUCGGAGCUUAACUCCGAAACUGCAUUUGAUACUGCCGUGCUUGAGGACUGGAGAGGAGACUGGAAUUCUCGGUGUAGCGGUGAAAUGCGUAGAUAUCGAGAGGAACACCCGUGGCGAAGGCGGGUCUCUGGACAGUUCCUGACGCUGAGGCACGAAGGCCAGGGGAGCAAACGGGAUUAGAUACCCCGGUAGUCC